UAAUACGUAGGGGGCAAACGUUGCUCGGAAUUACUGGGCGUAAAGGGUGUGUAGGUGGCUGGACAAGUCAAAGAUGAAAUCCCGAAGCUCAACUUCGGAAUUGUCUUUGAAACUGUUCAGCUUGAGGAUAGUUGAGGAGAAUGGAAUUCCCGGUGGAGCGGUGAAAUGCGUAGAUAUCGGGAGGAACACCAGAGGCGAAGGCGGUUCUCUGGACUAGUCCUGACACUGAGACACGAAAGCUAGGGGAGCAAACGGGAUUAGAUACCCCGGUAGUCCUAGCUGUAAACGAUGGGCACUAGAUGUUUUCACUUUUUGUGGGAGUGUCGUAGUUAACGCGUUAAGUGCCCCGCCUGGGGAGUACGGUCGCAAGGCUG
rnacentral:rRNA from 1 species